CCUCUUGAGACUAAAUUUUGAUGAAGAUCAAGGGCUAAGAAUGCCUUCAUCGGCCCCAAUCGAUGAAGUCUUCAUCAAUAAAGAGGAAUAGAAAAAAGUAUUAUUGCUUCUUGAUGCGUAGUCGUUGAUAGCACCAAAAAUAACUCUAUUCACUAUGUAGGUAGGAUGAGUCGAGAUCGUAUCCUCAGGGACCUUAGACUAAGCUG
rnacentral:lncRNA from 1 species